AUACUUACCUGGCAGGGGAGAUACCAUGAUCACGAAGGUGGUUUUCCCAGGGCGAGGCUUAUCCAUUGCACUCCGGAUGUGCUGACCCCUGCGAUUUUCCCAAAUGUGGGAAACUCAACUGCAUAAUUUGUGGUAGUGGGGGGCUGUGUUCCCACUUUCCCCUG
rnacentral:snRNA from 1 species